rnacentral:rRNA from 1 species
GAUCCUACGGGAGGCAGCAGUGGGGAAUAUUGCACAAUGGGGGAAACCCUGAUGCAGCGACGCCGCGUGAGCGAAGAAGUAUUUCGGUAUGUAAAGCUCUAUCAGCAGGGAAGAAAAUGACGGUACCUGACUAAGAAGCCCCGGCUAACUACGUGCCAGCAGCCGCGGUAAUACGUAGGGGGCAAGCGUUAUCCGGAUUUACUGGGUGUAAAGGGAGCGUAGACGGCGUAUCAAGUCUGAUGUGAAAGGCAGGGGCUCAACACCUGGACUGCAUUGGAA